rnacentral:rRNA from 2 species
CUAUUAAACAAGAUAAGAGUUUUUGGUGGAUGCCUUGGGUCUGGAAGUCUAAGAAGGACGUGAUUACCUGCGAUAAGCCUCGGUUAGCUGGAAAUAAGCUGUUAUCCGGGGAUUUCCGAAUGGGGAAACCCAAUUGAGCUAAUCCUCAAUUAUCAUUUCGAUGAAUCCAUAGUCGAAUGAAGAGACACGCUGUGAAUUGAAACAUCUCAGUAGCAGCAGGAAAAGAAAAUAAAGAAUGAUUCCCUUAGUAGUGGCGAGCGAACGGGGAAAAGCCCAAACCAACAUUUGAUGUUGGGGUUGUAGGACUACUUACACGAGGUUAGACAAAACUUAAACAUAGCAGAAUAAGUUGGAAUGCUUAAACAUAGAGGGUGAAAUUCCCGUAAGCGAAAUGAAUAAGUCUUCAAGUAGUAUCCUGAGUAGGGCGGGGCACGUGAAACCCUGUCUGAACCCGCCGGGACCACCCGGUAAGGCUAAAUACUAACCAGACACCGAUAGCGAACUAG